GAUGAACGCUGGCGGCGUGCUUAAUACAUGCAAGUCGAGCGAACAGACGAGGAGCUUGCUCCUCUGACGUUAGCGGCGGACGGGUGAGUAACACGUGGAUAACCUACCUAUAAGACUGGGAUAACUUCGGGAAACCGGAGCUAAUACCGGAUAACAUGUUGAACCGCAUGGUUCAACAGUGAAAGACGGUUUUGCUGUCACUUAUAGAUGGAUCCGCGUCGCAUUAGCUAGUUGGUAAGGUAACGGCUUACCAAGGCAACGAUGCGUAGCCGACCUGAGAGGGUGAUCGGCCACACUGGAACUGAGACACGGUCCAGACUCCUACGGGAGGCAGCAGUAGGGAAUCUUCCGCAAUGGGCGAAAGCCUGACGGAGCAACGCCGCGUGAGUGAAGAAGGUCUUCGGAUCGUAAAACUCUGUUAUUAGGGAAGAACAAAUGUGUAAGUAACUAUGCACGUCUUGACGGUACCUAAUCAGAAAGCCACGGCUAACUACGUG
rnacentral:rRNA from 1 species